GACGAACGCUGGCGGCGUGCUUAACACAUGCAAGUCGAACGAAGUGGCGAACGGGUGAGUAACGCGUAAUCAACCUGCCCUUCAGAGGGGGAUAACAGUUGGAACCGACUGCUAAUACCCCAUACUGCAGGAGGGGCUUGCGGCUGAUUAGCUCGUUGGGGGGGUAACGGCCCACCAAGGCGAUGAGCAGUAGGCGGUCUGAGAAGGUGAACGGCCAAAUUGGGACUGAGACACGGACCAGACGCCUACGGGAGGCAGCAGUGGGGAAUCUUCCGCAAUGGACGAAAGUCUGACGGAGCAACGCCGCGUGAGUGAUGACGGCCUUCGGGUUGUAAAGCUCUGUUAAUCGGGACGCGGUACCGGAAUAGAAAGCCACGGCUAACUACGUGCCAGCAGCCGCGGUAAUUC
rnacentral:rRNA from 1 species